AUCAUUCAUAGAGUGUAAAGGCAUAAGGGAGCUUGACUGCGAGCCCUACAAGUCGAGCAGGGUCGAAAGACGGACUUAGUGAUCCGGUGGUUCCGCAUGGAAGGGCCAUCGCUCAACGGAUAAAAGCUACCCCGGGGAUAACAGGCUUAUCUCCCCCAAGAGUUCACAUCGACGGGGAGGUUUGGCACCUCGAUGUCGGCUCAUCGCAUCCUGGGGCUGUAGUCGGUCCCAAGGGUUGGGCUGUUCGCCCAUUAAAGCGGUACGCGAGCUGGGUUCAGAACGUCGUGAGACAGUUCGGUCCCUAUCCGUCGUGGGCGUAGGAAAUUUGAGAGGAGCUGUCCUUAGUACGAGAGGACCGGGAUGGACAUACCUCUGGUGUACCAGUUGUCGUGCCAACGGCAUAGCUGGGUAGCUAUGUGUGGACGGGAUAAGUGCUGAAAGCAUCUAAGCAUGAAGCCCCCCUCAAGAUGAGAUUUCCCAACUUCGGUUAUAAGAUCCCUCAAAGAUGAUGAGGUUAAUAGGUUCGAGGUGGAAGCAUGGUGACAUGUGGAGCUGACGAAUACUAAUCGAUCGAAGACUUAAUCAAAA
rnacentral:rRNA from 1 species